CAAUAGCGUAUAUUAAAGUUGUUGCAGUUAAAAAGCUCGUAGUUGGACCUUGGACCUGGACAGGCGGUCCGCCUCACGGCGUGUACUGUCUUGCUGGGCCUUUCCUCUUGGUGAUCUGUUGUUUCGGCAGCAGGGAACCAGGACUUUUACUUUGAAAAAAUUAGAGUGUUCAAAGCGGGCUCGACGCCGGAAUAUAUUAGCAUGGAAUAAUAAAAUAGGACGUGCGGUUCUAUUUUGUUGGUUUUUGGAAUCGCCGUAAUGAUUAAUAGGGACAGUCGGGGGCAUUAGUACUCACAUGCUAGAGGUGAAAUUCUUGGAUUUUGUGAAGACUAACUUCUGCGAAAGCAUUUGCCAAGGAUGUUUUCAUUAA
rnacentral:rRNA from 1 species